UACGAAGGGUGCAAACGUUGCUCGGAAUUAUUGGGCGUAAAGCGCACGUAGGCGGCAUCGCAAGUCGGAUGUGAAAUCUUAUGGCUUAACCAUAAAAGUGCAUCCGAAACUGCAGUGCUUGAGUACUUAAGAGGAUCGCGGAAUUCCCGGUGUAGAGGUGAAAUUCGUAGAUAUUCGCAAGAACACCAGUGGCGAAGGCGGCUCACUGGCCCGGUACUGACGCUGAGGCACGAAAGCGUGGGGAGCAAACAGG
rnacentral:rRNA from 1 species